UGCAGAGGCUGUAGCAGAGGCACGCAAGCACGCAGAAUAGACCUGCAGAGGAUGCACAACAGAGCAACGCAGCUCAUGGUCUCACGCUAGACUUCACUCAAAGCAGGGGCAUUUCAGAAUUUUCAUAGAGUGCACGGAAAGAGGCAGACUAUUUUACUUUUACUUGUUUUUAGUUUUUGGUCUAGGGUCGGUGGGGUCCCUCUCUCAUUUUUCAGUAGUUCUUAGUUGUUCUUUCUUUUAGACCCUAGGCGGCGUCUAGCCUUUUAGUUUUACAUUUUGUUUUUUUUUUUUUCGUUGAGGUUUAAAAUCCAGACCUUAGUUGGCUGGUUUGCAUUUUUGACUUGUUUUUAGUUGAGUUUUCUUUUUGGACGGACGGGAGUGAAUCUCCCUCUAAGUUUUCAUUUUUAUUUUUUUCUUGUUCGAUUUUUGUGGAGUUUUCAUUCCUAACAUUUCUUCUUUUCGUUCAGACCGUGAGGCGGCUUUUUUCAUUUUUUUUCCACUUUGUUUUUUCGUUCAACGGUAGCAGAGUUCUUUUAGUUUUUAUUUUUCGUUCAGACCGUGAGACGGCUGGCUUUGGAGUUUUUUUUACAUAUUUGGUUUUUAUUCGUUUAGGCUUUUCAUUCCAGACCUGGCGGCGUCACUCACUUGGCGUUUGUUUUAUUUUAUUUUUCCUGGUUUUACAGAUUGUAAAGAGGGUAGACGGAACUCUCUCCCUCUCUGCUGGUUUUAUUUUUUUCUUUCUUCUGGAUUUAUUUUCAUACAACAAUUUAAAAUGUUAAAGUUUAUCAUUGUUGAACAUUUUGCUAAUUUAGAAAUGAUAGGUUAGAUUUUUAGCUUGGGAUUCAAUUAGUAACCUAUGACUGUUUUGGGGUGGAUUUUCUUCAAUAUUAUGUGAUUUCAAUUAUUAACUUGUUAGAUGAUAUUUCAGUUUACAUCUAGAAAGGAUUGAAGUUCUUUGUUCUUGGUUUAGAUCAAUUGUAGACGUAAAUGCACAAUUGAUACUUGAACAAGUAACAAGACUUUGAUGGCUUUCUUUCACUAUCUUACAAUUGUUAUAUAACUUGUCAAGUAAUUUUAUUAGAUUAAGAAUUGGGGUUCAUUGCUAUAUUAUCCGAUCAUGAAUUCUAGGAAUGGGAGCAUGGUUGAGAGACAAUAAAAAGAGAAGUAAAUCCAUCUCCAAAUCAGUAGCUUCUACACUUGGAAUACAAAAUUAUAAGCUGAUCAGACACAACAAAGUGUUGUUGCACAGGUGGACGUAUUAAGUUGCAUUACAACUGAGACAUUAGUGGGUGGCACACAACAAUGUUGUGGACUUCACGAGGGAUUGUUUUUCUAAUCAAGCAGACUUCAUUAAAAUAAAAGACGAUACAUGUUGAGGAGGUGGGUUCCCCAACAAAUACCCUAAUAAAAACAACCACAGUGCAAAAGUGGUGAAAAAAAAGGGAAAAAAAAAUAGAUUUUGUGACCAAUUUCUUAGUCUCUACCCAAGUCCUACAAAGAGAGUACCGUCUUAAAAGAUGCUCUGAAGGUAAACCACCACUGGACGUAAUGCAAGCUAGUGCACUGUAGUCCGUUGUCUUAAAAUAUUUUUUGUAGAGAUCCUUAGUCCCUUUAACAAGAUCAUUGUUUAGGGAAAGCGAUAACCUGGAUAUACCAACAUCAGAAGAAUAGAUCAAUGGUGGAGAAAUACUCAAACCACACGCCUAGAGACGCAAAUGAGAGCCAUGCACUAAUGGUAUGGAGGUGGGGUCAGGUCGAUCUGAAUGAUCAAAUGGUGGAGAAUCUGCUAGUGCAGCACAUGUAGCAGACAGAACUAACAAAGGGCAGUGGCCCGUGAAGACCAAGCGAGGAAACAAGUUGUGCGUAAGGGACACAUGCCAACAUUUUGGGCGCGGUUCUGUGUUGUCCCAGUAGAUCGGCAGCAGGGGAACAACAUGGUGUGGCACGUGUCGAUGUAUUAAUGAAGUCAAGGAAUUCAUGCAAGUCGAUGUAUUCAUGUUGCCUGUGUACUCUACAUGGAUGUAUUCAUGUAACUCGAUGUAUUGUAUAUGGUAUUUUGAUAUAUGUUCAGAAAAUAUAUAUAUAUAUAUAUAUAUAUAUAUAUAUAAUAUGAUGCUCAGGAUGGAGGAUGCCAUAUUGUGCUCAUUCACGUAGAUUUGUAAAAAACAUGAAUAUUACAGGUCAUCAGUUUGGUACGCAGUUGAACUACAUUGAAACAUUGAAAAACAUAAAUAUUACAAGUCAUUAGUUUGGUGCA